rnacentral:rRNA from 1 species
UACGAAGGGGGCUAGCGUUGCUCGGAAUGACUGGGCGUAAAGGGCGCGUAGGCGGACGGCUUUGUCGGGCGUGAAAUUCCAGGGCUUAACCUUGGGGCUGCGUUCGAGACGGGUUGUCUAGAGUUUGGAAGAGGGUCGUGGAAUUCCCAGUGUAGAGGUGAAAAUUCGUAGAUAUUAGGAAGAAACACCAGUGGCGAAGGCGGCUCACGUGGUCCGGUACUGACGCUGAGGUGCGAAAGCGUGGGGAGCAACAGG